CAGUAGCCGCGGGAAAACGAAGGGGGCUAGCGUUGCUCGGAAUGACUGGGCGUAAAGGGCGCGUAGGCGGUUUUGACAGUCAGAUGUGAAAUUCCUGGGCUUAACCUGGGGGCUGCAUUUGAGACGUCAAGACUAGAGUGCGAGAGAGGGUUGUGGAAUUCCCAGUGUAGAGGUGAAAUUCGUAGAUAUUGGGAAGAACACCGGUGGCGAAGGCGGCAACCUGGCUCAUUACUGACGCUGAGGCGCGAAAGCGUGGGGAGCAAACAGGAUUAGAUACCCCGGUAGUCCCUGUCGCUUAUAC
rnacentral:rRNA from 1 species